rnacentral:lncRNA from 10 species
GGCGGGGCGCUGCCCCUUGGCGAGGCCGGGGCCGGGGGCGUCGGGCCUUAAGGAGGGAGCCGGACACGAGCUCUGCGAAUCACUUUAUUGCGCGCGUUUCGGGGAGCGGGCCGUCCAGGGAAGGAAGCAAAGCGGGAACGCACUGCAGGCCCCAUCCAGUUCAGAAUCUCCAGAGCAGAGCCCAGGAAUCUGGAUUUUGUACCCGACACCUCCCCAUCUCCCACCCC